UUCACUCAAGAUUCAAUAGCAGAUCUCAAACACGUAAUGACAAACACUUUAGUAUUUUGACAUUUGUACAUGCGUUCAGUAGCAUCUAGCUACAUUACUAAAUAGAGUUUACAUGCAAGACAAUAAGACCUUUUGUUCAAACUAAGCUACACAAAUGGUUUGAGCUGCGAAUACAAGAAACGUCAUGUAGUCUUCAAGUGCUAUCAUGUAGAAGAAACAUCAUGUAGACGUGAAGUGCUAUCAUGUAGAAGAAACAUCGUGUAGAUAGUGCAGAAGAUCUUCCAACGAUGAUGCCAACCUGAACAGAGAAGAUGGUAGAACUGCUAUAAGCUAAUAAUCUUGGUAAAUAUCUAUAUUGUAGCACAAAAAAUGGACAUAGUCUCAGACAUCAAACACUAAUGGCUCGCCUCUUGAGGGGGGAUUUUGCGUGCCAGAGGAUAUGGGCACAUAGUUGAUAGAAAAGUUUGACAGGAACCUGCAUGAAUAAUCCAUUAAUCGUCAUGUCCUAACAUGUUCUCGGCUCUGCUACUAGCACUUGUACUGGCAUAAAUUUACUUGCAAACGUACCAGCUGAAUUGCUCUGUUAAAGAAAAGCUUUGGAUUAAAUAUAGCUUCUAAAUAUUAGCCACCAAAAGGUCGGCCAAACUUUGCUGAAGCCCUGCAAAUGAGCAUAAGAUGUGCAUAUAUGUAACCGCAGAGAAAAUAGUUAGUUCAAGGUAUUGGAAGGAUAUAAAAGACCUGCACCCAGCGACAUAAACAAAGUUUUACACAUCCAGUCUUCCUAAUCAAUUUAAGAAUUCAUCACAAAUUUUAAUGAUCAAAAUAUUCAGACCAACGACAACAGGUUUUAACUAAAAAAGGUCAUAUAAAAUCAUGACAAUUGUAAAAGAAAGGAGAAGGGAAAUUACUUGUUGCUUCUUUUACAUCUCCUUGCAUAAAGCUAGGACUCUAGAAUCAAUUAAUAUGUCGAGAAUCAAUGAAAUAAACUAAAUAACCACCAUAAUUGCCAUCUUGUACAUGAGCUUGUUGUUUAUACUUUGAUAUCUAGUUAAGCAAAGAACAGAAAACACUUGGACAUAGUUUAUUCACAUAAGAUUCAAAGAUAUGAAACCAGGCUGCCAAAUAAUCAUGUUAUUUACACAAGGUAGAAGCUCGUAAAGAAGACAUUAAUCAAGUAGUAGCAUCAACCAGAAUGAGCAGAAUAUCUACACAUACGUUUUGACAAGUACAGAAUGAGCAAGUAUCUCAAUUCUCCUCCAUGCACAAGACUUUGAGUUGUAAAUGAACUUGGUUCCUAAAGAUUUGUCUAGAAAUAACUAAAAUAUACAUGAGAUAGGAUCAGAUAAGUAUUCCAAAGCAAGUAGUCAUAUCAUGUUUUAAAACAGAUGCGUAGCUGACAGAACACCAAUUUCUGCUAGCAUCAUUUUCAACUUUCAGUGUGUAUCUAUAGCAAGGUUCCUGAUGUGUACAAAAUACAAAAAAGUGUAAUGCCACUAUGCUAGGUCAGCCACUUUUUACACAUAAAAAAGUACUGGACUAUGCAUAGGAAUACAAGAGAAGGCAUCACCUAUGCUCUUCAUAAAUGGUUAUAUGUCAGGAGACCAACGACUCUGUUUCAAGUACUGCCCAAUAACAAAAGACUAAUCUUCAGAAUACACAGGGCAUGUAAAAGCUCAGUUCCAGGACAUGUAAAAGCUUCCAGUAGUUGUAUGCAUAAAAAGACUAAUCAAAUUCAGGGCAUGUAUACAGAUGGCAAGCAAAAUCUCAGUUCAUAUGUUUACUGCAGUUUCAUUUGCAUGAAGCAUAUAAGAAACGAAAUGCUAAAUAAGUUUCAAUGUUCUGAAAUAGCAGCAAACAUGUAUCCAAAAGUAAAUAUAUAAUCAUAAGAGCAUAAGCUUAUGUGCUUGUAUGGAGUAGUUGACACUGCUUGGAGAGGACAAAGAAGAUGUACGCUGCUCACAAGACAAACAAUCCAAAAAAAUAUUUCAGUGAAAGCAUCAAAUGAAAAUUAGGGAACAGUUUGUAAGAAUUACAUAUAGGAGAAAAGAGCAUGGUACUCAGCUAGCCUCAUGUCCUAAUUCUUCCAAUUUUUCUACUUAGGAGCAUAGCUCCCAAUUUCCAUUACUGAAAACAUCAGAGACUAAGCCACACACACCAGCACUACUACCAAACCUAGACGCACAACCUAAACAACAAGCAUCCAAACGUUCUAAUUAUCAGCAACAAAACAGCAGUCUUAUAUUACUCGUGGCCCUGCAUGACAAGGUACUGUACUGCUAGGGUUAUAUUACUUGUACAUGGCACUGCCAGUAGACCCUUUUCCAAAAUCUGAACCACAUGCACAUCUUAAGCUGUGUACCAUCUCUAUGAACAUAGCUAUGGAUGUAUUUGUUCUUAAGUGUUAAGCUAAAUAAAAGAAGUUUUAACAAUAGGGGAUCUUGUAAUUUAAUAAGUCAUGAUGCCAUGCUAUUUCCAGUAGUGGUGACAGUACAAAACCAAAUUGCUAUCAUUUUACUCUAGA
rnacentral:lncRNA from 1 species